ensembl:snoRNA U3 Small nucleolar RNA U3
AAGACUAUACUUUCAGGGAUCAUUUAUAUGAUUUGUGGCUACAGAAGUUUCUCAGCGUGAGAAGCCCCAGAAGCCACGAGGAGGAGACGCAGCAUUCUCUGUGGCACGUGAGGCCAGCUCUUGGCAUUACUUCACUACAACUGCAUUUGCCACUGAUGAUCAUUCUUCUCUCAUCUCAGGGAGAGUAGAAGGGAGAGAGGAUGCAGGCUGAGUGAU